GAUGAACGCUGGCGGCGUGCUUAACACAUGCAAGUCGAACGAAGCAGAUUGAGAUCUUCGGAAGGAUAUCUGACUGAGUGGCGGACGGGUGAGUAACACGUGGGUAACCUGCCUCAUACAGGGGGAUAACAGUUAGAAAUGACUGCUAAUACCGCAUAAGCGCACAGUACCGCAUGGUACGGUGUGAAAAACUCCGGUGGUAUGAGAUGGACCCGCGUCUGAUUAGCUAGUUGGUGGGGUAACGGCCUACCAAGGCGACGAUCAGUAGCCGACCUGAGAGGGUGACCGGCCACAUUGGGACUGAGACACGGCCCAAACUCCUACGGGAGGCAGCAGUGGGGAAUAUUGCACAAUGGGCGAAAGCCUGAUGCAGCGACGCCGCGUGAGUGAAGAAGUAUUUCGGUAUGUAAAGCUCUAUCAGCAGGGAAGAAAAUGACGGUACCUGACUAAGAAGCACCGGCUAAAUACGUGCCAGCCGCCGCAGUAAGAC
rnacentral:rRNA from 1 species